GACGAACGCUGGCGGCGUGCCUAAUACAUGCAAGUUGAGCGCUGAAGGUUGGUACUUGUACCAACUGGAUGAGCAGCGAACGGGCGAGUAACGCGUGGGGAAUCUGCCUUUGAGCGGGGGACAACAUUUGGAAACGAAUGCUAAUACCGCAUAAAAACUUUAAACACAAGUUUUAAGUUUGAAAGAUGCAAUUGCAUCACUCAAAGAUGAUCCCGCGUUGUAUUAGCUAGUUGGUGAGGUAAAGGCUCACCAAGGCGAUGAUACAUAGCCGACCUGAGAGGGUGAUCGGCCACAUUGGGACUGAGACACGGCCCAAACUCCUACGGGAGGCAGCAGUAGGGAAUCUUCGGCAAUGGACGAAAGUCUGGCCGAGCAACGCCGCGUGAGUGAAGAAGGUUUUCGGAUCGUAAAACUCUGUUGGUAGAGAAGAACGUUGGUGAGAGUGGAAAGCUCAUCAAGUGACGGUAACUACCCAGAAAGGGACGGCUAACUACGUG
rnacentral:rRNA from 1 species